rnacentral:lncRNA from 1 species
CCGAUCUCCCUAUAUAUGCUCGCUUUUGAUUUCUUCAUCCUCGCUAAUGGCAGCCGAAACUUAAAUCUUCGUGUUGUAGCUGUGAUCGAUUCUCUCUUGGCUGAGUUUUAGUUUUUGCCAAGUUGAAAUCUUUGGGCGAUGAUUUUAUUGGUUUGUUUCUUUUUCUAUUUGAAGAAAUGAUUUUUUUUAGAAGUUCUCAGUAAGUAGUAUUUUAUUAAGAAAAAAAGCUGAUGACGAGAAGAAAUGAGGCAGAGCUGCAACAACAAAAAAAGCGCACCGUGUAGAAGUAGAUCCUUCUGCAUGGGUUGUUGUUUGCGCUGAUGAAUGUGCCAAAAUGCUAAUCUGAGGCUUUUCUUAAGUAUUAUAUAUAUAUAUAUAUAUAUAUUCCCUUCUCUAUUCUCUUUUUAAUCCUUUUAAUUUGAACCUUUUCUUUUCCCCUAAAAUUAUUUUUAUUUUUUGACAAAAAAAAGAAAUCAGAUUUAUUUAUUAUUAUUUUGGGAUGCUAUUGUUUUCUGUUAAUUGAUUUGUUUUUGCCCCCUUUAUUAACAUGGAGAAGGCGUAAUCUAUGAAGACUUGUAUUCCAAAAUUCCCCAUAGAAGAAAAAAAAAAGGACUAAGGAAGUGAAGGAAGCUAAUAUACUGAAAAUCCGAUGGAAUUGACAAUAUUUGACGGUACCAAGCCCUGUAGAACCAAUUCAUUCACUUUAAAAGGAUUCCAUAGCCGUGUGAAGACCAACAAGAAGAAAUUGGCAAAUUGCUAAGGGUUUUGAAUCAAUAGGUUUUAUAAUUGGCAGGUUAAAUCUUGUUGAAAUGAGGGAAUUUCGGACCCUCUACAAGUGUGAUUUUUUCAUAUAUAUACGUUGAUGUAGCUUUGAAUGAUACAUAAAGGGGCAAUGAAAGAUAUUAGUUACAUAAUUAGACUGGUAGGUUUCUUGUUGUGAGAGUCCAGACACUUGAUCCUUAACAUACGAUGGUAUAGUGUUGCUUAAAGCUUACCCCUUGAGUAAACUCCCUUCCUAUUCCUACAUAAUGUGUCCAGACUAGUUCGAUGAAUUUUGCGAAUAUCUCAAGAAGAGGACAGGACUUGAUAUUUCAUUUUCCUAUUUAGAUACCUGCGUUUUGAGAUUGAAAUUCUCUCUCUGGUAACAUCUUGCUGUUGGUGGAAGUGAUGAAGACAGACUAGAAAAUGGGGCCUGGUUGCCGUUGGUGGAAGUAGUGAAGACAGACUAGAAAAUGGGGCCUGGUGAAUGCAGAGGAGGACUAGGAGGGCCUGGUGGUAGGAUCCUGGCUGGGAUCCGGGGCCUGGAGGUCCCUGGGGCCCUUGCUGUUGGUGGAAGUGGUGAAGACAGACUAGAAAAUGGGGCCUGUUGGAUGGAAAGGAGGAAGAGGAGGGCCUGGUGGGUGGGGUCCUGGCUGGGGUCAGGGGCCUGGAGAUCCCUUCGGCCCUGGAUUUUUGGUCUGGUGGUUUCUUUGGUGGCUUUGCUAAUGGCUUGUGCAACAUGAAAUCUUCUUGCUAAGCAAUCAAUUUUUCUCCAUUCUCCUCCCAUUUAUAGUUAACUGCCCUUUGAUUCUUUUUAACUAAAAUUUCUGAACUUAAAUUGUUUUGGAUUGCAGCUUCUACAGUCUGCUGUUGUUGGCUACGACAGGACUGCUUUGGUGGACCACGAGGCCAUGGUCUUCCUUGCCCUGGAGGGCCUCCCUCAUUUUCAAAUUCUUGUCUGUCGAACAGCAGUCAUCUGCUGGCUGCUGCUUUAGUUGUGUUGUGCCUUACAAUAAACUCUAUGAUCUAGUUUUACUCUUUCUCCACUGCUGUCCAUUUUGUUGUUGUUUCCAAUACCAUUUUCAUCUUUUACUAUGCAAACUGGGGUUGUAUCAGCAUUAAUAUAUGCUGAGAGCUGAUUACUUGGGGUGCUGAUUUCAAUUGGGAAAGUUUUUUUUUUUUGUCGAAACGAGUCUAUGAUUGGAGUUUGGGGUGUACUAAGGAAUGAAUUUCCCUUUGCGGGUAUGUAAAGGAAUUCCACAAGUAGAAAGUUUGAGGACCCAAAUGGAAGCUUAGAGAGUAAUACGUGCAAGCUAGAGGGGAAUCCCAGAAGCUUGCGCCGC